UAUGACUCAUGAAUUUGGUGAUUAUGAUAACAUAAGGGAAAAAAAUGAUGUUACCUUAUUAUUAGUGUUGUCCAAAACUGGUGCCAGAAGACUCGGUAAGACCAGAGACGCAAACGUUAGUCAUCUUAAUCAGGCGUAAAGGGUGUGUAGGCUGCUUUAAAAGUUUAUUUUUUUUAAUAGCUCUGUAACCGUAAUACUCUCUAAUUUGGGUAGUAUAUAAAAUUUAUAAUUAAAUAAAUGAUAUUUAAAUAAUAUCCGUGUCUCAGAAAAAAAAUAAAUGAAUAAAAGCUAGAAUCAAAUUGAGGAUAAGCCAAAUAAUACUUAGAGUAGGGGUUAAAUCCGCAGAUACUAAGGGGAAUACUAACGGUGAAGACUUUUAUCUACUAAUGAUUGACGCUGAGAAACGAAGGUGAGAAUAGGAAAUAGGAUUUGAUACCCAGAUACCUCUCACAGUCAACGAUGAAUGGUGGUUGUUAGUUUUAGUAAAAACUGGCAACGAUGUUAACACGAUAACCAUUCCGCCUUGCGAGUACGGUUGCAAAACUGAAACCAAAAAAAUUAGUCGGUCUCGAAGCAAACGAAGUGAAGCAUGUUAUUUAA
rnacentral:rRNA from 1 species